CAAAGUCUCCCGCCAAACACGCAGAAGUAGCACGUGGAGUCAAAUAUUAGACACAAUCCUCCGGAAAUACAGUUUCCUCAUCAAUUGCAGUGGUGUUUCUAUCCCAUCCGAGGUGUUGCUGGAGUGCAGUGCUGGGAAUUAUUAAGACUCCUGCUCUGCUGACAGCUGAAUCGUGUGUUUCUGUGGGAGGAAGAGGUGUGGGCUUCUUCAUCAAGUCAGUAAUCAUCUUCAGGAUUUUCGGUUUCCCUGUAGCAGUCAGAAUGACACACAGCGUCUGGCCAGGCUUGUGCGUGUAUGAGUGAGAGAGUUUUCCCAUCUUCCUCGAGAUCGUUCUGGUUCUCAGCCUUUGGCAGAUGCUUCAGCCGGAAUGACUUCCAGUGCACUAAUUGCAGGGAAUUGUACCACUGCCUGCUGGGAAGACAUAUCAAAGAAAGAAAGGACAGACGGAUUGAGAGCUAAUCUGAGCGUUAAUUGGAGAUCUGAGAAUAAGACGUCUCAGCAGAAAGGAGAUCAUUAGGAAUCAGCACCUGUGGACGAGGCUCUUUUAACCUGCUUCAGCAUCAUUCUGACCUUCAGCGCCACUGAAUUCAUCUUCGCUGAGUUUAUAUAGCAGGUUUAGCUCAUAGUUCAUGGGUUUGCUUUGUAGUUGACAUUUAAUAAGUGCUUUCAUCCAAGGUGACUUGUAGUAUGCUAAUUUCAGGGACGGAGCUCUUGGAGGGACCUGAGGUUAAGCGCUUUGCUCAAGGGCAGCGGCGGCCGUUAUCUCGAUUACUCCGGUUUCUGGGUCACCCUGGUUUGUGAUUAACAUUGCAACCUUUGUGUUAACAAAAAACAAUGUUGUCUGCACACUGAAUAAAGAUUUAGACUAAAAAGGUCUGGAAAAGAUGGGUUGUUUUUAAAUUUGCAUCGUGAAAAAGUCAGAUCAACGUGAAAAUGUACUUUCUUCAGAUCACUGAAGGAUUCCUUACUAGAUGGUUUCUUAUAGAUUGUUUGUUAGGUCUUGGACUUAUCUUUUUGUUAGAUGGUUAAUGGCAAUUAUUAUAGAAAUUUCUGUGGAACAAAAAAAUUGAUUGGACAUUUCUUUGGAAGAAAAAGUGAGUGGAGCUUGCAUGUGAAAAACUUGUUGUUGCUAGGGAUUUCUGUGUGAUUGUGAAGACAUUUGGUUGGUAAGGUGUUUUGGGUGGAUGGUU